rnacentral:rRNA from 2 species
UCUGAGCGGCGGAGGGGUGGAGUAAAGCUUAGGAAUCUGCCCAGUAUGGGGGACAACAAUCGGAAACGGUUGCUAAUACCGCAACGUCCUACGGGAGAAAGCAGGGGAUCUUCGGACCUUGCGCUAUUGGAUGAGCCUAAUUCGGAUUAGCUUGUUGGUGGGGUAAUGGCCUACCAAGGCGACGAUCCGUAGCUGGUCUGAGAGGAUGAUCAGCCACAUCGGGACUGAGACACGGCCCGAACUCCUACGGGAGGCAGCAGUGGGGAAUAUUGGACAAUGGGGGAAACCCUGAUCCACCCAUGCCGCGUGUGUGAAGAAAGCUUUCGGGUUGUAAAACACUUUCAGUAGGGAGGAAAACCUUAUGGUUAAUACCCAUAGGGCUUGACGUUACCUACAGAACAAGCACCGGCGAACUCCGUGCCAGCAGCCGCGGUAAUACGGAGGGUGCAAGCGAAAUCGGAUAAACUGGGCGUAAAGCGCGCGUAGGUGGUUUGGUAAGCGAGAUGUGAAAGCCCCGGGCUUAACCUGAGAAACGGGCAUAUUCGAACUGCCAGGCUAGAGUGUGGUAGAGGGUAGUGGAAUUUCCUGUGUAGCGGUGAAAUGCGUAGAUAUAGGAAGGAACACCAGUGGCGAAGGCGGCUACCUGGACCAACACUGACACUGAGGUGCGAAAGCGUGGGGAGCAAACAGGAUUAGAUACCCUGGGUAGUCCACGCCGUAAACGAUGUCAACUAGCCGUUGGGGAUCUUGAAUCCUUAGUGGCGCAGCUAACGCACUAAGUUGACCGCCUGGGGAGUACGGCCGCAAGGUUAAAACUCAAAUGAAUUGACGGGGCCCGCACAAGCGGUGGAGCAUGUGGUUUAAUUCGACGCACGCGAAGACCUUACCUGGCCUUGACAUCUGCGACUUUCUAGAGAAUAGAUAGUGCCUUCGGACGCACUGACAGUGCUGCAUGCGUCGUCAGCUCUGUCUGAGAUGUCGGGUAAGUCCCGUACGAGCGCACCUAGCUGCUGCUAGCAGUAAUGCUGAGACUCAGAACUGCCAGUGACAUCGAGAGGUGGGUAUGACUCAGUCUCAGGCCUACGCAGGCUCACACGUACUCAUGUGUACGAUGCUGCAUCGGGAUGCAUCGUAAUGCCUGACUCGAUCGAUUCUAUUGAAUCGA